rnacentral:lncRNA from 1 species
CAUUUUAUGUAGGAUGCUAAUUUAGACGUGCUGCAGAGAAGCGCACUUCCAUGUUGGCUUCAUGGAUCCAUCCCUAGUUAACCAAUAAUAUCAGUUAGAGAAAAUGUUGGUGGAAGUAUACAAUUUCCUGGACAAAUAAUAUUACAAGAGUUACAUACUACUGCCAUACAACUUUGAGUAAGUGUGGGUAUAGUCUAUUUUUGUUUUCUUUUUUCUUACCUGAUUAAUGUUAGUUAGCUCUAAUAUGAACAUUUACGUACGCAGUUUCCAUUGGAUCCUCCUAGUAAUUGAGCCUGAUAAAAGCCACGUCACUGUUCGAUUCGUUGAGGAAAAAACCAACGGACUACCAAGACAUUCAAGACAUGUUAAACUUGUAAUAAUUUUGGACCUUUAUCUAUAUGCAAAAGUUUGUUUCCUAAAUUUUCACCUAACACUGUAUCAUUCAUUAUUUUAAUCCAUAGCGUAUGGAAACAAUUACUGAAACACAAAGGUCCAUUCAAAGAAAAAAUUACAUUCAACACAGACUUUCCAGUACAUAUGAAGUUUGCACAUUUUGUACAUUCUAUAGCACGAAUACUUCAUAAAUUAUUUUUUUUAAGAUAGGAACCUAGGAAUAAUGUACGUGGGUACUACGUCUGUGAGUACAUGUACAGUUUUGUGGGACCCAAGGGCCGGACGACGCCGCAUGACAUGAAG